rnacentral:lncRNA from 1 species
CUCCUCUUCUUCCGGUGGGUCGCAGGCCCGCCUACCUUGCAGGAGUGAUUGGAAGCUCUGCCCCUCCGCAGGCCACUGGGCCUUUUCUGUCUGUGGUCACAGUUCCGCCUACCUGGCAGGCGCGGGGGGUGGGGGGCGGCUCUGCCCCUCAGCAGGCCUCUGUGCCUGCUCUGUGGGUGGUCACAGUUCCCUCUACCUUGCCAGCGCAGGGGGAGGGGGCAGCUCUGCCUCUCAGCAGGCCGAUGCUCCUCUUCUUCCGGUGGGUUGCAGGCCCGCCUACCUUGCAGGAGUGAUUGGAAGCUCUGUCCCGCCGCGGGCCACUGGGCCUUUUCUGACAGUGGUCACAGUUCCGCCUACCUGGCAGGCGCGGGGGGUGGGGGGCGGCUCUGCCCCUCAGCAGGCCUCUGCUCCUCUUCUAGUGUUCCGAUUUUUGACAGUGAAUGCAUCCUCCAAAGAUUUUGAAAGUUUACCUUUGAGUACAGAUGAUUUGAAUUGUGAAACCUGUAGCAUGACAUGGAAUGGAUUCCAUUUUGUUUUAGAAGUCUGUACCCUGUUUUUAUGGCUAUGCCUAUAAGCAGUGACCUAGCAGCCAGGUAUCAAUCAGCCCAGCUACCACCGAAAGGAAACACCUAAACUUACUGGAUUCGAAUUUCUAAGCCUUUCUUCAGAAAGAUGUUAUCUCCCAUUUCAGACUAUGUUUGCAACAUACCUUGGAUCUAGACAAUAUACUUCCUCUAGUUACCAGAACCUGGCCUAGAAAUUCACUGAUUUUAUGCAAAUAUGUAUACAAAAAUAAAAGUCAAUUAUCCUUUGUAAACAAGUUUAAUAGUAUAUCUUUAUAUGUAUCUAUAGAUAAAGACACAUCUAUCUCAAAAUAAGCUCCAUUAGAGAGUGUUGCAGGAAUUGUCAUUCAACUUAAUAAUAAAAUAUUUACACAUUCUGAAAAACUUGUAGUAAUUAUACUGUUUUUAGAUUUUAUUUUACCGUAAUUUAUAGCACUCACCUGAUAAUUAUUUC